rnacentral:rRNA from 1 species
CGUAGGGCGCAAGCGUUGUCCGGAAUUAUUGGGCGUAAAGAGCCCGUAGGCGGCUUGUCACGUCGGAUGUGAAAGCCCGAGGCUUAACCUCGGGUCUGCAUUCGAUACGGGCUAGCUAGAGUGUGGUAGGGGAGAUCGGAAUUCCUGGUGUAGCGGUGAAAUGCGCAGAUAUCAGGAGGAACACCGGUGGCGAAGGCGGAUCUCUGGGCCAUUACUGACGCUGAGGAGCGAAAGCGUGGGGAGCGAACAGGAUUAGAUACCCUGGUAGUCCACGCCGUAAACGUUGGGAACUAGGUGUUGGCGACAUUCCACGUCGUCGGUGCCGCAGCUAACGCAUUAAGUUCCCCGCCUGGGGAGUACGGCCGCAAGGCUA